rnacentral:tRNA from 1 species
CAAGAAAUAGUUUAUUAAAAAUAUUAACUUUGGGAGUUAAUGAAAAAGAGAUCUCUUUUUUCUUGA